GUUGGCGCUGUGUACCACAAAGAGUUGUAAUCCACAUUUAUUAGAAGAAGAAGAAGAAGAAGAAUCGCCACAGAAGAAGAGGAUUUACCCCAGAGCCAAUCUACGACGUCAUUCUAAAGAGAAAGAGCGGGCGCAUUGUGUGGCUCCGGCAUCAGGUCUUGGCUCCUCGCGACAUGGGACACGUCACUUCCGGCUCACAGCCUGCUCAUCUCGGCAUAUUGAGGCAUAUUCGACUUGCUGCUCAUUCCACGACAUCAUCGGUUUGCAUGGUGAGAGGACACAUGGGGAUCUUCUCUUGUCCCCGUGGUUGCUGUUCCGGCAUCUGUGGAGAAAUACUUCAAGAUAGAUGCAGACAGCAGAAUCUGUCCAAGCAUGUUCUACUGUACCGCCCGAGAGAAAACCACAUGAUGCAGCUCUAAAUAUUCCACUUCCAGCUGGCAUUCACUUAUAUAGUUAUUUGUUUUCUGUUGAAGCACAUGACAUUUGUUCAGUUGGGCCUACUUAUUUACAAUAAAGCAUGCACAGAGAAUACGUUGUUUUCUUACAAUUAGACUAAUAAAUACUGUAGAAUGCAAGCAUUUUGAACUAUAUGAGUUGUACAAAUUUGAAGUGAUGUUUGUCAUUGAUGAAUUGUAGCUAUUCCUUUUUAAAAGGUUAGUGACUCAAAUUUUGAAGUGGUUAUUUUCAAACUGAUACAAGACAGUUACUUACAAUACAUGGUGUUUUGCUCCAGUCUCGAACACUGUCCUGAGACAAAAAUAGAAGAGCAAGUAUGGCGACGAGAGCGGUGAAAGAGAAUGGUGAUAAAAAGUUACUUUCCACUGGAAAUAAUGAUAAAAAUGAUGUUAAUUAUAACCAAAGCUGUUUCAGAGCAAAUUUGAUUUAUAUCUGAGGCCAAAAGGUGUCUGUGUAACUCACUCUACUUCUAGGGCUCCAGUCCAAUGGAAGCCGCUAAAAAAUACAUUUGUGGAUACCUUAUGUAUCUAUUGUUCUACAACCCCAAUUCCAAUGAAGUUGGGACGUUGUGUUAAACAUAAAUAAGAAGAGAAUACAAUGAUUUGCAAAUCAUGUUCGACCUAUAUUUAAUUGAAUACACUACAAAGACAAGAUAUUUAAUGUUCAAACUGAUAAACUUGAUUGUUUUUAGCAAAUAAUCAUUAACUUCGACUUUUAUGGCUGCAACACGUUCCAAAAAAGCUGGGACAGGGUCAUGUUUACCACUGUGUUACAUCACCUUUUCUUUUAACAACAUUCAAUAAACGUUUGGGA